rnacentral:rRNA from 12 species
AUACGACUCUCGGCAACGGAUAUCUCGGCUCUCGCAUCGAUGAAGAACGUAGCGAAAUGCGAUACUUGGUGUGAAUUGCAGAAUCCCGUGAACCAUCGAGUCUUUGAACGCAAGUUGCGCCCAAGGCCUUUCGGUCGAGGGCACAUCUGCUUGGGCGUUAAACAAC